rnacentral:lncRNA from 1 species
GGAACCAUCAUAACCUAAGUUGUCUGUGCCAUUCCAAAUGGAUGAGAGAAUUGGUGCGUUCAUAUCUAGAAGGGAGAGGUUGAAUGAAUCCAUCAAAUUGUUUAUGGCAUCGAUUCGUCAUUCUUUGAUAGCAGAUAUGACUACAAUGUUGGAGCAUGUUCUCAUGGAAAAUCCUAGUUCUAGUUAGGGCGUGUUGCCGAAACCAUAUGAAAUGGAAAUGCACAAAGUGAAUUUUGAUGCUGCUUGUAAGACAUUGUCAGAGGUUUUAAUAGAAUGGUUUUGGAAGAGAAACAACGGUAAUGCAAAAUGACUAAUGCCAGAUGAUGAGACCGUCUCUUAAAUUUGGAGUGACCAAGAGAGGAAGGAAAUAGAUCCAAAUGGUAAUGGGUUUUGAUGGUCAAACUCUCAAAUUUGUGGAUAGAUGAAAAAUGAGUUGAUAGUCGUCAAUGCGGGCGUUGCAGCAAAGAUGUUAGAGGAGAUCAAGGUCAUGAACCAAACGCUAUGGAUUGGUGGUAAAGAAACAUGAUGCUAGUUUGAACAAGAAAGUGUUGGAAAGUAGAGCGUAAGUCACAUAACCUACCACCUCUUUCAGAGCUUCCAUGUUUGUCUUCAUUAGAACCAUGUCCAACAGAGUUAUCGGGUUUUAUUUUUACAAUACCCUCUUUUUGAAAAAAAAACACUAAAAUACUGGUAUAUUGUUUUCAAAUGGGGGUAUUUUGG